rnacentral:rRNA from 1 species
CCCUUAGAUGUUCUGGGCCGCACGCGUGCUACACUGAGUGGAUCAGCGGGUCAGGUUGCGCGAAAGCGUUUCCUAAUCUUUAAAUCCGCUCGUGAUGGGGAUUGACGGUUGCAAUUUUCUGUCAUGAACGAGGAAUACCUUGUAAGCGCGGGUCAUCAUCCCGCGCUGAAUACGUCCCUGCCCUUUGUACACACCGCCCGUCGCUCCUACCGAUUGAGUGGUCCGGUGAGGCUUUGGGAUCUGAGCGGAAAGAGCGUUUCGCUGUUUCUGCUCGGAUAACUCAGUCGAACCUUAUCAUUUAGAGGAAGGAGAAGUCGUAACA